rfam:Pan troglodytes isolate Yerkes chimp pedigree #C0471 (Clint) chromosome 4, whole genome shotgun sequence.
GCCUGGUGUGGUGGUGUGCACCUGUAGUCCCAGCCACUUAGGAGGCUAAGGAGCGCUUAAGGCCAGGAGUUCUAGGCUGUUGUGUGCUAUGCUGAUCAGGUGUCUACACUUAAGUUUGGCACCAAUAUGGUGACCUCCUGGGAGUGGGGACCACUGGAUUGCCUAAGCAGGGGUGAACCAGCCCUGGUAGGAAACGGAACAGGUAAAAACUCCCAUGCUGAUCAGUAGUGGGAUCAUGGCCAUGAAUAGCUACUGCAUUCCAGCCUGGGAAACACAGCAAGACUCUAUCUCUU